rnacentral:rRNA from 1 species
UACGGGGGGAGCAAGCGUUGUUCGGAAUCACUGGGCGUAAAGGGGGGUCUAGGCGGUUUGGUAAGUGGGGAUGUGAAAUCCCCGGGCUCACCCCGGGACCUGCAUCCCAAACUGCUGAGCUUGAGUACAGGAGAGGGUGGGGGAAUUCCAGGUGUAGCGGUGAAAUGCGUAGAUAUCUGGAGGAAUACCGGUGGCGAAGGCGGCAUCCUGGACCGGCAUUGACGCUGAGUGAGCGAAAGCCAGGGGAGCAAAGCGGG